rnacentral:rRNA from 1 species
GUUGUCCGGAAUUACUGGGCGUAAAGAGCUCGUAGGUGGUUUGUCGCGUUGUUCGUGAAAACUCACAGCUUAACUGUGGGCGUGCGGGCGAUACGGGCAUCACUGGAGUUCGGCAGGGGAGACUGGAAUUCCUGGUGUAGCGGUGAAAUGCGUAGAUAUCAGGAGGAACACCGAUGGCGAAGGCAGGUCUCUGGGCUGACACUGACGCUCAUGCACGAAAGCGUGGGGAGCAAACAGG